rnacentral:rRNA from 1 species
CACGUAGGGGGCGAGCGUUGUCCGGAUUUAUUGGGCGUAAAGAGCUCGUAGGCGGCUCGGUAAGUCAGGUGUGAAACCUCCAGGCUCAACCUGGAGACGCCACCUGAUACUGCCGUGGCUAGAGUCCGGUAGAGGAGCGUAGAAUUCCUGGUGUAGCGGUGAAAUGCGCAGAUAUCAGGAGGAAUACCAGCGGCGAAGGCGGCGCGUCUGGGCCGGAUACUGACGGCUGAGGAGCGAAAGCGUGGGGAGCAAACAGGG